rnacentral:rRNA from 1 species
UACGAAGGGGGCUAGCGUUGUUCGGAAUUACUGGGCGUAAAGGGCGCGUAGGCGGUGUGUCAAGUCAGGCGUGAAAGCCCCGGGCUCAACCUGGGAACCGCGCUUGAGACUGGCACGCUCGAGUUCGGGAGAGGAUGGUGGAAUUCCCAGUGUAGAGGUGAAAUUCGUAGAUAUUGGGAAGAACACCGGUGGCGAAGGCGGCGCUCUGGACCGAGACUGACGCUGAGGCGCGAAAGCGUGGGGAGCAAACAGGG